UACGUAGGUAGCGAGCGUUGUCCGGAUUUACUGGGCGUAAAGGGAGCGUAGGCGGACUCUUAAGUGAGAUGUGAAAUACCCGGGCUCAACUUGGGUGCUGCAUUUCAAACUGGAAGUCUAGAGUGCAGGAGAGGAGAAUGAAAUUCCUAGUGUAGCGGUGAAAUGCGUAGAGAUUAGGAAGAACACCAGUGGCGAAGGCGAUUCUCUGGACUGUAACUGACGCUGAGGCUCGAAAGCGUGGGGAGCAAACAGGAUUAGAUA
rnacentral:rRNA from 1 species